rfam:Lactobacillus oris PB013-T2-3 contig00111, whole genome shotgun sequence.
GGAGAAUUACUCAAGUGGCUGAAGAGGCGCCCCUGCUAAGGGUGUAGGUCGUGUAAACGGCGCGAGAGUUCGAAUCUCUCAUUCUCCG